rnacentral:rRNA from 1 species
GACGAAGGGGGCUAGCGUUGUUCGGAAUUACUGGGCGUAAAGCGAGUGUAGGUGGUUGUCCAAGUUGGAUGUGAAAGCCUUGAGCUCAACUCAAGAAAUGCAUUCAGGACUGGAUGACUAGAGGACCGGAGAGGAUAGUGGAAUUCCCAGUGUAGUGGUGAAAUACGUAGAGAUUGGGAAGAACACCAGUGGCGAAGGCGGCUAUCUGGACGGUUUCUGACACUAAGACUCGAAAGCGUGGGGAGCAAACGGG